UACAAAACCCACUUAACUGCACAAUUAAAACGUUUCAUUAAAAUAUCUAUUACCUCUAAAAUGAAGAAUAAUUAUUAACAUAUCAGCUAAAUAAUGCAGGGGUACAAACAUGACUGUCUCUGUAUGGGGCACUGCACGGUGCAAUUUUCCCAAAACCCUCAACGCACUGCACUUUCAUAGAACAACCAGUAAGUCAGACACAACAUAAGACAACAGUGUAAAUUGGUCACUAAAGAGAAGCUGGAAGCUGAUGAGUAGUGGUGAAAGAAACCAAUGAAAGAAGAAAAAACAAAACAUAGAAAUGCCUCCUCACCUUCAGCCCCCAAUUCCCAAACCCCAAAACCAAAACCAAAACCAAAAAAACAAGUUCUACUUCUUCUACGGCCACCGUAAACCCUCCCAACACCGCCCCACCGUCCGUGGCGGCCUCUUCUCCAACCGCCAAUCCAUCUCCCUCCACAAACCCUCUCCUCCCCACAAUCCUCAACCCUUCAAUCUCCACCACUGGGACCCACAACAUUCCCCCACCACCACCACUGAAACCCGCAACACCAACACUGGGUCUGGGUCUGGGUCUGGGACCACCCACACCUCUCUCAUCCGCCUCUCCCCUAUCGCCCGAUACAUCACCGACUCAUUCCACAAGAACCAAAACCACUGGGGCCCUCCCAUCGUCUCCGACCUCAACAAACUCCGCCGCGUCACUCCGGACCUCGUCGCCGAAGUCCUCAAAUCCCAACCCGACCCGAAUCUCGCCUCCAAGUUCUUCCACUGGGCCUCCAAGCAAAAAGGCUUCCACCACACUUUCGCUUCCUACAAUGCCUUCGCCUAUUGCCUCAACCGCUCUAACCGUUUCCGCUCCGCCGAUCAACUGCCCGAACUCAUGAUCUCCCAAAACAAACCCCCCACCGAAAAGCAGUUCGAAAUCCUUAUCCGAUUCCACUCCGACGCCAAUCGGCCCCUUCGGGUUUUCUACGUGUAUCAGAAGAUGAAGAAAUUCAAUGUCAAGCCUAGGGUUUUUUUGUAUAAUAGGAUUAUUGAUGCUUUGAUGAAGAAUGGGUAUGUGGAUUUGGCGCUUUCAGUUUAUGAUGAUUUUAGGAAUGAUGGUUUGGUUGAAGAGAGUGUUACUUUUAUGGUUUUGAUUAAAGGGCUGUGUAAAGUUGGGAGAAUUGAUGAAAUGUUGAAGGUUUUGAGUAAAAUGAGGGAGAAUUUGUGUGCGCCGGACGUGUUUGCGUACACGGCAAUGGUGAGGGUGUUGGUUGAAGCAGGGAAUUUGGAUGGGUGUUUGAGGGUUUGGGAGGAAAUGAGGAGGGAUAAGGUGGAGCCGGACGCAAUGGCGUAUACGACUUUGGUUACCGCGUUGUGUAAAGGUGGGAGGGUGGAGAAAGGGUAUGAGUUGUUUAGGGAGAUGAAGGAGAAAAGGUGUUUGAUUGAUAGGGCGAUAUAUGGAUCGUUGGUUGAGGCAUUUGUGGCAGAUGGGAAAGUGGGGUUUGCUUGUGGUUUGUUGAAGGAUUUGGUGGAUUCUGGGUAUAGAGCUGAUUUGGGGAUUUAUAAUUCGAUUAUCGAAGGUUUGUGCGGUGUGAAGCGAGUUGAUAAGGCUUAUAAGGUUUUUCAGGUCACAGUUCAGGAGGGUCUUGAGCCGGAGUUUGUGAUUGUGAAUCCAAUUUUGGUUUUGUAUGCAGAGAUGAAAAGGAUGGAUGAGUUUUGUAAAUUGUUAACCCAAAUGGGGAAAUUGGGAUUUUGUGUCAUUGAUGAUCUUUCGAAGUUCUUUGCUUUUGUGGUUGGGAAGGAGGAGAGGACAAUGAUGGCUGUGGAAGUGUUUGAGGACUUAAAAAAAAGAGGUUAUUGUAGUGUUUCCAUAUACAAUAUUCUUAUGGGGGCACUUCACAAGAAAGGGGAGUUUAAAAAGGUGAUAUCACUCUUUGAUGAAGUAAAGGAAUCAGAUUUUGAACCUAACUCAUUGACUUAUAGUAUUGCAAUUGAAUGUUUUGUUGAGAUUGGUGAUAUUGAAAAAGCAUGUCUGUGUUAUAAUAAAAUCAUGGAGAUGUCUUUGGUUCCUUCUGUUGCUGCUUAUUGUGCUCUUGCUAAAGGGCUCUGCAAGACCGGAGACAUUGAUGCUGCUAUGAUGCUUGUUCGCGAUUGCUUAGCCAAUGUUACAAGUGGCCCUAUGGAGUUUAAGUAUACACUUUCUGUUGUCCAUGCUUGUAAAUCUGGUGGUGCUGAGAAGGUGAUUGAGGUAUUGAAUGAAAUGAUGCAACAGGGUUGUCCUCCUGAUGAGAUUAUAUACUCUGCUAUCAUCUCUGGCAUGUGUAAGUAUGGGACAAUUGAGGAGGCAAGGAAGGUUUUUUCGAAUUUGAGAGACCGCAAACUUUUAACAGAAGCCAAUAUGAUUGUCUACGAUGAAAUGCUAAUUGAGCAUAUGAAGAAGAAGACCGCAGACUUGGUGGUGUCUGGAUUGAAGUUUUUUGGUCUAGAGUCCAAGUUGAAAGCAAAGGGUACUUCUCACCCACCCUUCUUCUCUACCUCUAGAAGUGCAAGUGAAGUGCUGGGAGUACUAUGACAGGCAAGAAACUCCAAUUUUUAGUGCCACAAGGAGCACAUACAUAACUCAAGACAACCACAGAAAGAAGAAUGUUAUUACCAUUUAUUGUCACCCAGCAGGUAACUGGAGGCAAUGAGGAGAAGCAUAAUAUGUGGGAUAAACUUAAGUUGUUUUUGUUCAUAUUGCUAUAUUUGCUUUGGCUAAAAGCACAUGCAAAUUGUGUAAAUUCGUGGCAAUCUGUCCAAGAUAUUUUUUCUUUUGUAAAUUAUAUUAUAGUAGUAAAAGUUGGAAAUUGGUCAUUAUUA